rnacentral:rRNA from 1 species
AGCGGCGGAUGGGUGAGUAACACGUGGGGAACCUGCCCCUAAGUCUGGGAUACCAUUUGGGAACAGGUGCUAAUACCGGAUAAUAAAGCAGAUCGCAUGAUCAGCUUUUGAAAGGCGGCGUAAGCUGUCGCUAAGGGAUGGCCCCGCGGUGCAUUAGCUAGUUGGUAAGGUAACGGCUUACCAAGGCGACGAUGCAUAGCCGAGUUGAGAGACUGAUCGGCCACAUUGGGACUGAGACACGGCCCAAACUCCUACGGGAGGCAGCAGUAGGGAAUCUUCCACAAUGGACGCAAGUCUGAUGGAGCAACGCCGCGUGAGUGAAGAAGGUUUUCGGAUCGUAAAGCUCUGUUGUUGGUGAAGAAGGAUAGAGGUAGUAACUGGCCUUUAUUUGACGGUAAUCAACCAGAAAGUCACGGCUAACUACGUGCCAGCAGCCGCGGUAAUACGUAGGUGGCAAGCGUUGUCCGGAUUUAUUGGGCGUAAAGCGAGCGCAGGCGGAAAAAUAAGUCUAAUGUGAAAGCCCUCGGCUUAACCGAGGAACUGCAUCGGAAACUGUUUUUCUUGAGUGCAGAAGAGGAGAGUGGAACUCCAUGUGUAGCGGUGGAAUGCGUAGGUAUAUGGAAGAACACCAGUGGCGAAGGCGGCUCUCUGGUCUGCAACUGACGCUGAGGCUCGAAAGCAUGGGUAGCGAACAGGAUUAGAUACCCUGGUAGUCCAUGCCGUAAACGAUGAGUGCUAAGUGU